AAGAAUUAAAUGGAUGAAAUAUGAAGUUUUAUUAAAAGAAAAAGGGGUGAAAAGAACAAAGUUUUGUCCAUCUUUGUUCAUCAUAGCUGAAAGUUAGAAAAGAGAAAGGAGAGGAGAAAGCUCUUGAGUAUUCGGUCAUUAGGAGGAGGAAAAUUGAAGGCAGUUCGUGUAUGGAUCUCGUCAGCAUAUCGUCGCAAACAGGUGUGUAACUAACACCCUCUUUCUUAGUCUAGAUCGGCAAAAGUCGAAAAGCCGAAAUGCCGAAAACCGGUAUUUUGUAGAUUUGCGAGUGUGCGAAUGCUCGUGAGGUAAAUCGAUUAAUGUUUUUGGUAAGCUGCAAUGUUUGGACUGCAAAGUGCA